CUUGUAGGUGGCUGGUUGCGUCUGUCGUGAAAGCUCAUGGCUUAACUGUGGGUUUGCGGUGGGUACGGGCUGGCUUGAGUGCAGUAGGGGAGGCUGGAAUUCCUGGUGUAGCGGUGGAAUGCGCAGAUAUCAGGAGGAAUACCGGUGGCGAAGGCGGGUCUCUGGGCUGUUACUGACACUGAGGAGCGAAAGCAUGGGGAGCGAACA
rnacentral:rRNA from 1 species